UAGAACUGAUAAUCCGACAGGUGGAAUGAUGGGGUAACGCCCUGAAGCGCCGCCCUAAUACUCCGAUAUGCAUAGUCAACGCAAUCACGGCUGUGUGUAAAGCUCGGAGAAGUCGGCAGAGAGCAGCCCAAACAGGUCAAGCUGUGGAAAGCUGUCCAGAGGUGGACGGUGCGGCCUAUAUGCCGGGGGUCUACAAA
rnacentral:ncRNA from 1 species